GUUAUCAAGUGCAAGGCUGCAGUUGCUUGGGAGGCUGGAAAGCCUCUCUCCAUAGAGGAGAUAGAGGUGGCACCCCCAAAGGCUCAUGAAGUUCGAAUCAAGAUCAUUGCCACUGCGGUUUGCCACACCGAUGCCUAUACCCUGAGUGGAGCUGAUCCUGAGGGUUGUUUUCCAGUGAUCUUGGGACAUGAAGGUGCUGGAAUUGUGGAAAGUGUUGGUGAGGGAGUUACUAAGCUGAAGGCGGGUGACACUGUCAUCCCACUUUACAUCCCACAGUGUGGAGAAUGCAAAUUUUGUCUAAAUCCUAAAACUAACCUUUGCCAGAAGAUAAGAGUCACUCAAGGGAAAGGAUUAAUGCCAGAUGGUACCAGCAGAUUUACUUGCAAAGGAAAGACAAUUUUGCAUUACAUGGGAACCAGCACAUUUUCUGAAUACACAGUUGUGGCUGAUAUCUCUGUUGCUAAAAUAGAUCCUUUAGCACCUUUGGAUAAAGUCUGCCUUCUAGGUUGUGGCAUUUCAACCGGUUAUGGUGCUGCUGUGAACACUGCCAAGGUGGAGCCUGGCUCUGUUUGUGCCGUCUUUGGUCUGGGAGGAGUCGGAUUGGCAGUUAUCAUGGGCUGUAAAGUGGCUGGUGCUUCCCGGAUCAUUGGUGUGGACAUCAAUAAAGAUAAAUUUGCAAGGGCCAAAGAGUUUGGAGCCACUGAAUGUAUUAACCCUCAGGAUUUUAGUAAACCCAUCCAGGAAGUGCUCAUUGAGAUGACCGAUGGAGGAGUGGACUAUUCCUUUGAAUGUAUUGGUAAUGUGAAGGUCAUGAGAGCAGCACUUGAGGCAUGUCACAAGGGCUGGGGCGUCAGCGUCGUGGUUGGAGUAGCUGCUUCGGGUGAAGAAAUUGCCACUCGUCCAUUCCAGCUGGUAACAGGUCGCACAUGGAAAGGCACUGCCUUUGGAGGAUGGAAGAGUGUAGAAAGUGUCCCAAAGUUGGUGUCUGAAUAUAUGUCCAAAAAGAUAAAAGUUGAUGAAUUUGUGACUCACAGUCUGUCUUUUGAUGAAAUCAACAAAGCCUUUGAACUGAUGCAUUCUGGAAAGAGGUAAGCUUUCUCUUUAUAUAUCAUAGAAUGUAAUAAUGAUGUUGAGUUUGAGGGGAUGGAGAGUCGAAAAACACAAUUUUAGUUGUCUUAAAGGUAUCAUUUAAAACUUAGUAUGUUGCUUCCUUUUACAGCAUUCGAACUGUUGUAAAGAUUUAAUUCAAAAGAGAAAAAUAAUGUCCAUCCUGUCGUGAUGUGAUAGGAGCAGCUUAACAGGCAGGGAGAAGCGCCUCCAACCUCACAGCCUCGUAGAGCUUCACAGCUACUCCAGAGAAUAGGGUUAUGUCUGUAAUUCAUGAAUCUCUAUAAUCAAGGACAAGGAUAAUUCAGUCAUGAACCUGUUUUCUGGACGCUCCUCCACAUAAAUAAUUGCUAGCUUAUUAAGGAAUA
rnacentral:sRNA from 1 species